rnacentral:rRNA from 1 species
CCUACGGGGGGCUGCAGUGGGGAAUAUUGGACAAUAGGGGGAACCCUGAUCCAGCCAUGCCGCGUGUGUGAAGAAGGCCCUCGGGUUGUAAAGCACUUUCAGUGAGGAAGAACGCCUGGUGGUUAAUACCCAUCAGGAAAGACAUCACUCACAGAAGAAGCACCGGCUAACUCCGUGCCAGCAGCCGCGGUAAUACGGAGGGUGCGAGCGUUAAUCGGAAUUACUGGGCGUAAAGCGCGCGUAGGUGGCUUGAUAAGCCGGUUGUGAAAGCCCCGGGCUCAACCUGGGAACGGCAUCCGGAACUGUCAAGCUAGAGUGCAGGAGAGGAAGGUAGAAUUCCCGGUGUAGCGGUGAAAUGCGUAGAGAUCGGGAGGAAUACCAGUGGCGAAGGCGGCCUUCUGGACUGACACUGACACUGAGGUGCGAAAGCGUGGGUAGCAAACAGGAUUAGAUACCCGAGUAGUC